GUACCUCAUGUAGUAAAUACAGCACAUAGAUUAAAGGUCUUUCCCAAGCAAGAGUUUUACUGGUUUCAAGAAGAGAUCUGAAAGUAGAACCAGUGGAAUAUCCAUUAAGGACGAUUAUGAAAAAAAAAAAAAGUAUGUAUAUUCAAGACAAAGUUCUUUGCUUUCUCAGGCUCAGAGGUUAACAGUGCUAAGGCUCCCUGUAAAGACAUAUAGACCCAUGGCAACUAAAUAUUUAACGACUGUUCCAAAAUGUCCAUCAAUCUUCAUAGAGACUAAACAGCAGCCCAGAACCCAUUUUACCUCAAUGGACUUGAGAUUUGAAACAAUGAGAUAGAUGGGCUAGUGACUGCAGCGCAUUCAUUUGGAGGCAAAAGUUUCAGUUCAGCAGCCUGAGCUGUGAAGUGCUGUCACUGGCUGUGACAUCAUGUGGGACAGAGGCCGUGUAACAGACUGGGAAGAGGGAAGUGCUGAGCCAAGAUGGUGGAGUGAUAAGUACUUGACACAGCCAACUGAGGAUAAGCUGGAGCCAAAAUGGCUGACUGCUUCUGUUACAGUGAAGAAGAUGUCAUCUCUGUUUUCUUGAAAGCAUGAAUGCAGGAGGAUAUUAUUUGGAAUUAUGUAUUAUAUAGAGGUAUGGUAUGGAAAGAGAUAAUUUGGGCCAUUAACUUGGUAUAAAAACACAUUGUGUUUCCCUAUUUAGAAGAACUCUGAUUAGUCUUGUUUCUGAUUAGUUGAAUACAUCUCUGAUUGCUCAGGAAUUGCUGAUUGAUUUUCUAUAACAGCAUGGCUCUGAUAACUGGUGCCAGGUUUAUAUUAAUGUGCUUGGACUUAUUAUUAUGAUUCUAUGUUAGAAUCUCUAUAGUAACUCACUGUCAUGUCAUUUGGUGUGGAAAAUACUCAGUAUCAUUCAGUUUAGCCAAAAUAGGUAAUAGACACCAUUACUACUUGUAAUGUUUAUAACACUUUUUGAAAGUGAUGCUAAAUUAAGAUUCCAUUAUCUUACUGGCUAUGCUAGAGGGAUUCAUGUAAAAAAUCUGAGUAGAUCAACAGCCAAAGGAUUGAAAAUAACAAAAACAAUAAGAUGCGUAAAUUAGGAGACUAAUGCAGGUUUGAGGCCUCACAAACUAUUUUUAUGUUUGAGAAUGCCUUAUUGGAAAAAUAUACAUAUCUAUUGAGGUAUUAUAAGGUAAAUGAUUUACAUAAGGUGUGUACAUUCAAUAACCAAAGGAUUUACAAGCCCAGAUACUGUAUUUCUAAAAUUCAUUCUGCACCUAUUGAAGUCAUUUACAAGUUCAGAGAGGUUUGUGAACAGGGAAACACAGGUAAUGUAACUCAUAUCUAUGUAACUAAUCUCUAUUCAUAAUGUGAAAGCAUACGAAAUAGAUAAUGGGAGCGAGAGAUGAAGAGAUGAAGAGUAAAAAAAGGAAACAGAGGAGACAGGGUGAAGGGACUUUGAAAAGGCUCUUUCUCCACAUUACAGGGGUUUCCAUGGCAACAAUACAGCAGGGCCUGACCUGCAAAGUAAGUGUGUGUGUAUGAGAGAGAGAGAGAGAGAGAGAGAGAGAGAGAGAGAGAAGAAAGGACAGGGAGGAAAAAAUACAAGGUUAGAAUAUUCACCUUCAGAUAACAUAUGGAUUUUCAGUACUAUUAUACACUAAACCCACUCAUCCCUUUAGCUUCUAAAUUCAAAUUUCUAACAUAUUCUGUAAAACCCAGCAGAUACAUUUUAUGGUUAAGGCCAAGCAGGCAUUUUUCAGUUCAGAUUCCUGAAAUGGGGUACUGAUCAGAGCUAGCCACAUGAAGAGGGAUGUGAAUCUGAAUCAAAUCAUUUAAAUGACUCCAUCAAUCCAUCUUUGAGUUGAAGUAUUAUUGAGAACCAUGUAGUACUGACCUAUAUAUACUAGCCAUCUGAUCUUUGUUAGAUAAUGUGUAGGUUUUACUUUUACUUGUAGACAUUGGGUAAAUUUGAAUAAUUGUCUGUGGCAUCAAGCCUAGGAUGUUGUAUUAGAACUACUGACCAGUGAUCAACAAUGAUAUUGCUGAGUAUGAUUGUGGUCUGUUUUUUGUAGAGUUCACUCACUGCUUUAGAGGACACAGUUAAUGAAGCAUUGACCAAUAUGGAUGGAUGGUCUGGCUAUUGAGUCCCAUUACAAAUGAAUGGGAUGCCUUAGUGAGACACAGCUUGAUGAUCUUCAGGACUGACCAUGCGUCUCCAAUACAGGAACUAGUGCAUGGAGAAAAAUGUAUUCAUGCAUAUGACACCUAGGCAAGUAGGGAGCUGUGAGCCUGACAUCAAACUCAGAGCAAAGGCAGAUCAAUUUUAAAUGCUCACUUUCCGUCAUGCGAUCACAAAAAGAUAUUUGCAGCAAAGGAAAUUAAAAAUGGCUUGUAACUGGAGAGAAACAUUUUAGAUUUGCAUGAUUUUCCAUUACUAGAAGCAGACAAUUUUUCCUGUAUAAAGAUGUGUUUGUAUGAUUUCAUGCUGUGCAACAUCUUGCAAUCAGCUUUGUGCUCAUUUUGAUGGCAAGCCCUGUAGAUAUUUUGUAUGUACAUAAUUUUCUAUACACACCCAAAUAAUCAACCCUUUUGGCAGGCAGGUUUCUCUGGGAGUAUGUUUCAUAUAAUUGGGUGCAAUCUUGAGGCUCUUAGCAUUGAUCCAGCCCAAAACAAUCAUCCAACACACAUCGUACAAUUAGCAUGCAAAUUAAGGGCCAUUCGUUGCCACGCCGACGCCAGUCCACUCUUGUUUACUGAAGUGUCAAUCCAGUGGACUGGCCAUGCAGCCAGAUAUCGAAAUGGAAAGUGUAUGAGAGGGAGAUCGAGCAAUCAUUGUUCUUUGCUUUUUUGUUUUUGUUAUUCAUAAGACUGGUGCUGAAUGCAGCCCAAAUGUGCAUAGUUUCUGUUAAUGGCAAAGGACUAUUCAUCAUCCAGUGGAAAGCCACAUAACUGAAAUUUUUUGGCCUAUAUACAGUCAGGUCCAGAAUUAGUGGCACCCAGGUAAAGAUGAGUAAAAAAUGGCUAUGAAAAAAAAUGUUUUUAACAUAAUUUCAAGCUGAAAAUAUCAGAGAUCUCUAACCUUUAAUUAAAAUUUAAUUGAAAAUUGUAAAAAAAAAAAAUUAUUUGGAAACAUGGAUGGAGGCAAAAUACACUUGUGCCCUGUUCCCGGCAGGUUCAUUACAGUGCUGCUAUUUUUUUUAUAUGUAUCUGUUGCAUUAUUUAUGAAGGUCAACAUACUUGUCUCAUUUCAUUUGUGUGUUUUUCUUCCCCAUGUUCAUAAAUGAAUAAGGGAAUUUGGCCUCUGUCAUCUCAUGUUUAUAGCCAAAUAAAACAGGAAGCCAUAGCUUACAAAUUAAAGAAAAAAAAAACAUUUUAUUUUGUUAAUAAAUAUUUUUACAGGUGCGAAUGACUGCUUCUUGCUUCAUGAAUUUCUGGUGAAUUUUCAAGGUAUUGUCAGCUACUAAGUUCCAAAAAUCCUCUGUUGGAUUUAGAUCUGGUGCCUGGGGCGGUCAUACUAUAAAAUGGUUAAGCGUGCCAAGAAAACAUUCCCCACACCAU